rnacentral:rRNA from 1 species
ACGUGAUCUGAGUUCAGACCGGAGUAAUCCAGGUCAGUUUCUAUCUAUAAGGAGCUUUUUUUAGUACGAAAGGACCAAAAAAGCAUGGCCCCUGUUUUCAACAAGCCAUUUCUAUUAAUUUAUGUCUAAAACUUAACUCUUACAUAGUCCUUCCCUCUGUUCAAGAAAAGAACA